rnacentral:rRNA from 1 species
UUAUCAUUUAGAGGAAGGAGAAGUCGUAACAAGGUUUCCGUAGGUGAACCUGCGGAAGGAUCAUUGUCGAUGCCUCAAUCAGUUCGACCUGCGAAUUUGUUUAACCAUGCAGAGGGUUGGCUUGGAUGUUNNGCAUCUUAAGCUUCCCUUGUGUUGGGNUUANGNUAUGCUCUCUUCCAACUAAACACAAACCCCGACGCAACAUGCGUCAAGGAACUUGAAAUUGUUUAUGAUACACCUGUAGGCCCGGAGACGGUGCUUCUACGAGUGAUGUCGUUCAACAUGUCUCAAAAUGACUCUCGGCAACGGAUAUCUAGGCUCUUGCAUCGAUGAAGAACGUAGCAAAAUGCGAUACUUGGUGUGAAUUGCAGAAUCCCGUGAACCAUCGAGUCUUUGAACGCAAGUUGCGCCCGAAACCAUUAGGUUGAGGGCACGCCUGCCUGGGUGUCACACAAUGUUGCCCUACACAAACGCCUUUCAAAUCGGUGUUUGAGCAGGGUGGAUGUUGGCUUCCCAUGAGCAUCGUCUCGUGGUUGGUCGAAAAAAAGAGUCCUCGGGGGAAUGCUCCAUGAGAAAUGGUGGUUGAGUGAUGCUCGAGACCAAUCAUGCGUGGCUUCCUCCUAAAUGUGGAUCUUGACCCUUGCGUUUUUCACGACGCUCACAACGAGACCUCAGGUCAGGCGGGACUACCCGCUGAGUU